UAAGGUAGCGAAAUUCCUUGUCGGGUAAGUUCCGACCUGCACGAAUGGCGUAACGAUGGCCACACUGUCUCCUCCAGAGACUCAGCGAAGUUGAAAUGUUUGUGAUGAUGCAAUCUCCCCGCAGCUAGACGGAAAGACCCCAUGAACCUUUACUGUAGCUUUGCAUUGGACUUUGAACCGGUUUGUGUAGGAUAGGUGGGAGGCGUUGAGACCAGGUCGCUAGAUUUGGUGGAGCCAACCUUGAAAUACCACCCUGAUCUGUUUGAGGUUCUAACCUUGGCCUGUUAUCCAGGUCGGGGACAGUGCAUGGUAGGCAGUUUGACUGGGGCGGUCUCCUCCCAAAGAGUAACGGAGGAGUACGAAGGUAUCCUCAGCACGGUCGGACAUCGUGCAAUGAGCGCAAAGGUAAAAG
rnacentral:rRNA from 1 species